rnacentral:rRNA from 1 species
GACGAACGCUGGCGGCGUGCCUAAUACAUGCAAGUCGAGCGGACCUUUAGAAGCUUGCUUCUGAAGGUUAGCGGCGGACGGGUGAGUAACACGUGGGCAACCUGCCCUAUAGUUGGGGAUAACUCCGGGAAACCGGGGCUAAUACCGAAUAAUUCAUUUCAUCACAUGUUGAAAUGAUGAAAGAUGGUUCUGCUAUCGCUAUAGGAUGGGCCCGCGGCGCAUUAGCUAGUUGGUGAGGUAACGGCUCACCAAGGCGACGAUGCGUAGCCGACCUGAGAGGGUGAUCGGCCACACUGGGACUGAGACACGGCCCAGACUCCUACGGGAGGCAG